AACGGAUUUGAGCACUCCCUUCCCUUUCAAUCGCACAUCGUACAUCAUUGACCGAUUAGAAAAUCCUGUACCUUUGGCAGGAAUUGGUGAAUUGUUAGAAGACAAUGGGAACGACGAUGAAAUAGAAAAUAUUGCCAUUAACGCAAUCGUUGAAAUUGCAGAAGGUUUCGUUCAAAGAAUACAUAGGACAUGC